rnacentral:rRNA from 1 species
UACGUAGGUGGCAAGCGUUGUCCGGAUUUACUGGGCGUAAAGGGCGCGUAGGCGGCCAUGCGUGUCUUCCGUGAAAUCCCUCGGCUUAACUGAGGACGUGCGGAAGAAACUGCAAGGCUUGAGUCCGGGAGAGGGGGGUGGAAUUCCCAGUGUAGCGGUGAAAUGCGUAGAUAUUGGGAGGAACACCGGUGGCGAAGGCGGCCCCCUGGACCGGUACUGACGCUGAGGCGCGAAAGCUUGGGUAGCAAACGGG